GACGAACGCUGGCGGCGUGCUUAACACAUGCAAGUCGAACGGAAAGGCCCUGCUUUUGUGGGGUGCUCGAAUGGCGAACGGGUGAGUAACACGUGAGUAACCUGCCCUUGACUUUGGGAUAACUUCAGGAAACUGGGGCUAAUACCGGAUAGGAGCUCCUGCUGCAUGGUGGGGGUUGGAAAGUUUCGGCGGUUGGGGAUGGACUCGCGGCUUAUCAGCUUGUUGGUGGGGUAGUGGCUUACCAAGGCUUUGACGGGUAGCCGGCCUGAGAGGGUGACCGGCCAAAUUGGGACUGAGAUAAGGCCCAGACUCCUACGGGAGGCAGCAGUGGGGAAUAUUGGAACAUGGGCGGAAGCCUGAUGCAGCCACGCCGCGUGCGGGAUGACGGCCUUCGGGUUGUAAACCGCUUUCGCCUGUGACGAAGCGUGAGUGACGGUAAUGUGUAAAGAAGCACCGGCUAACUACGUG
rnacentral:rRNA from 1 species